CGGGUAGCCGGCCUGAGAGGCGACCCGGCCACAUUGGGACUGAGAUACGGCCCAGACUCNUACGGGAGGCAGCAGUGGGGAAUAUGNCACAAUGGGCGCAAGCCUGAUGCAGCGACGCCGCGUGCGGGAUGGAGGCCUUCGGGUUGUAAACCGCUUUUGAUCGGGAGCAAGCCCUUCGGGGUGAGUGUACCUUUCGAAUAAGCACCGGCUAACUACGUGCCAGCAGCCGCGGUAAUACGUAGGGUGCAAGCGUUAUCCGGAAUUAUUGGGCGUAAAGGGCUCGUAGGCGGUUCGUCGCGUCCGGUGUGAAAGCCCAUCGCUUAACGGUGGGUCUGCGCCGGGUACGGGCGGGCUGGAGUGCGGUAGGGGAGACUGGAAUUCCCGGUGUAACGGUGGAAUGUGUAGAUAUCGGGAAGAACACCAAUGGCGAAGGCAGGUCUCUGGGCCGUCACUGACGCUGAGGAGCGAAAGCGUGGGGAGCGAACAGGAUUAGAUACCCUGGUAGUCCACGCCGUAAACGGUGGAUGCUGGAUGUGGGGCCCGUUCCACGGGUUCCGUGUCGGAGCUAACGCGUUAAGCAUCCCGCCUGGGGAGUACGGCCGCAAGGCUAAAACUCAAAGAAAUUGACGGGGGCCCGCACAAGCGGCGGAGCAUGCGGAUUAAUUCGAUGCAACGCGAAGAACCUUACCUGGGCUUGACAUGUUCCCGACAGCCGUAGAGAUAUGGCCUCCCUUCGGGGCGGGUUCACAGGUGGUGCAUGGUCGUCGUCAGCUCGUGUCGUGAGAUGUUGGGUUAAGUCCCGCAACGAGCGCAACCCUCGCCCUGUGUUGCCAGCACGUCAUGGUGGGAACUCACGGGGGACCGCCGGACCAAGCUUCAAGGCC
rnacentral:rRNA from 1 species